rnacentral:rRNA from 1 species
UACGUAGGGGGCAAGCGUUGUCCGGAUUUAUUGGGCGUAAAGCGCACGUAGGCGGAUUUGUUAGUCAGGGGUGAAAUCCCGGGGCUCAACCUCGGAACUGCCUUUGAUACUGCAAGUCUCGAGUCCGAUAGAGGUGGGUGGAAUUCCUAGUGUAGAGGUGAAAUUCGUAGAUAUUAGGAAGAACACCGGUGGCGAAGGCGGCCCACUGGAUCGGUACUGACGCUGAGGUGCGAAAGCGUGGGGAGCAAACAGG